rnacentral:rRNA from 1 species
CCUACGGGAGGCUGCAGUGGGGAAUAUUGCACAAUGGGGGAAACCCUGAUGCAGCGACGCCGCGUGAAUGAUGAAGUAUUUCGGUAUGUAAAGCUCUAUCAGCAGGGAAGAAAAUGACGGUACCUGACUAUGAAUCCCCGGCUAACAUCGUGCCAGCAGCCGCGGUAAUACGGAGGCGGCCAGCGUUAGCCGGAUUUACUGGGUGUAAAGGGAGCGUAGACGGCUAAUCAAGUCAGUAGUGAAAGCUCAGGGCUCAACUUUGGGACUGCUUUUGAUACUGGGUAGCUGGAGUGCAGGUGAGGUAGGCGGAAUUCGUGGUGUAGCGGUGAAAUGCGUAGAUAUUAGGAGGAACACCAGUGGCGAAGGCGGCUUACUAGACUGUAACUGACGUUGAGGCUCGAAAGCGUGGGGAGCAAACAGGAUUAGAUACCCCUGUAGUC